rnacentral:rRNA from 1 species
UGGGGAAUCUUCCGCAAUGGGCGCAAGCCUGACGGAGCAAUGCCGCGUGAACGAAGAAGGUCUUCGGAUUGUAAAGUUCUGUCCUCAUCGAAGAGAGGGAUUAAUGUAAAGAAUGUUAAUCUAGGACGGUAGGUGAGGAGGAAGCCCCGGCUAACUACGUGCCAGCAGCCGCGGUAAUACGUAGGGGGCAAGCGUUGUCCGGAAUCACUGGGCGUAAAGGGCGCGUAGGCGGUAAUAUAAGUCAGAUGUGAAAGGUGGGGGCUCAACCCCUAGAGUGCAACUGAUACUGUAUAACUUGAGUGUGAGAGAGGGAAGCGGAAUUCCUAGUGUAGCGGUGAAAUGCGUAGAUAUUAGGAGGAACACCAGUGGCGAAGGCGGCUUUCUGGCUCAUAACUGACGCUGAGGCGCGAAAGCGUGGGGAGCAAACAGG